rnacentral:tRNA from 2 species
UCUGGUGUAGCUCAGUCGGUAGAGCAAGUGGCUGUUAACCACUGGGUCGGGGGUUCGAAUCCCUCCACCAGAGCAA